GUGUAGCAGCCGCGGUAAUACGUAGGGUGCAAGCGUUAUCCGGCUUUAUUGGGCGUAAAGAGCUCGUAGGCGGUUCGUCGCGUCUGGUGUGAAAGUCCAUCGCUUAACGGUGGAUCGGCGCCGGGUACGGGCGGACUGGAGUGCGGUAGGGGAGACUGGAAUUCCCGGUGUAACGGUGGAAUGUGUAGAUAUCGGGAAGAACACCGAUGGCGAAGGCAGGUCUCUGGGCCGUCACUGACGCUGAGGAGCGAAAGCGUGGGGAGCGAACAGGAUUAGAUACCCUGGUAGUCCACGCCGUAAACGGUGGAUGCUGGAUGUGGGGCCCGUUCCACGGGUUCCGUGUCGGAGCUAACGCGUUAAGCAUCCCGCCUGGGGAGUACGGCCGCAAGGCUAAAACUCAAAUAAAUUGACGG
rnacentral:rRNA from 1 species